rnacentral:rRNA from 1 species
GACGAACGCUGGCGGCGUGCUUAACACAUGCAAGUCACGGGGGCUCGCAAGGGCAACCGGCGAACGGGUGCGUAACACGUGAGCAACCUGCCGAUCUGAGGGGGAUAGCCGGCCCAACGGCCGGGUAAUACCGCAUACGUUCUUGUGGCCUCAUGGCUGUGAGAAGAAACCUCCGGGGCAGAUCGAGGGGCUCGCGGCCUAUCAGCUAGUUGGCGGUGUAAUGGACCACCAAGGCGACGACGGUAGCUGGUCUGAGAGGAUGGCCAGCCACAUUGGGACUGAGACACGGCCCAGACUCCUACGGGAGGCAGCAGUGGGGAAUAUUGCACAAUGGGCGGAAGCCUGAUGCAGCGACGCCGCGUGAGGGAUGACGG